rnacentral:rRNA from 1 species
AUCGACGGGAGCUUGCUCCCUUAGGUCAGCGGCGGACGGGUGAGUAACACGUGGGUAACCUGCCUGUAAGACUGGGAUAACUCCGGGAAACCGGGGCUAAUACCGGAUGCUUGAUUGAACCGCAUGGUUCAAUCAUAAAAGGUGGCUUUUAGCUACCACUUACAGAUGGACCCGCGGCGCAUUAGCUAGUUGGUGAGGUAACGGCUCACCAAGGCGACGAUGCGUAGCCGACCUGAGAGGGUGAUCGGCCACACUGGGACUGAGACACGGCCCAGACUCCUACGGGAGGCAGCAGUAGGGAAUCUUCCGCAAUGGACGAAAGUCUGACGGAGCAACGCCGCGUGAGUGAUGAAGGUUUUCGGAUCGUAAAACUCUGUUGUUAGGGAAGAACAAGUACCGUUCGAAUAGGGCGGCACCUUGACGGUACCUAACCAGAAAGCCACGGCUAACUACGUGCCAGCAGCCGCGGUAAUACGUAGGUGGCAAGCGUUGUCCGGAAUUAUUGGGCGUAAAGCGCGCGCAGGCGGUUUCUUAAGUCUGAUGUGAAAGCCCCCGGCUCAACCGGGGAGGGUCAUUGGAAACUGGGGAACUUGAAUGCAGAAAAGGAGAGUGGAAUUCCACGUGUAGCGGUGAAAUGCGUAAAGAUGUGGAGGAACACCA